ACGCGAUAGCCACCGUCGACAAGAACGCGCAGCGCGGCAUCAAGAUUCUCGCGCUCAUAGGCGCGGUUGAAGGUGUCGGCAAACAGCACCACCUCGCGGCCAUUGUCCGGGCCAAAGGCAAUUCCAGCCGGCGCGAACACAUCGCUGCGGAAUUCCGGCAGAUCGCGUUUCGCACUGAUGCCCGCGACUUUUUCGAACAGUCCCCGCAGCAGCGUGCUUUUGUUACGCAGAUUGGCGAGCCACGCA
rnacentral:misc_RNA from 1 species